rnacentral:lncRNA from 1 species
UGCACUGAUCUAAUCAGAUUAUUCACCAUUCCUAUGAUGAUCCAUCAAUCGAGAAUAAUUUAAAAAUUAAUUAUACAUAUUUUUAAUUCUCAACACUUGAGAAUAUGUAUCUUUAAGUCAUUAAUUCUUAGGAUGAUUCUUGGACAUAUUAAACAAGAAUGGAAAGAAAAAUAUCUUUUAUUGAUUAUCAAAAAUGUUUAAGUAUAAAAAUAUAUCUUAAAACUAUUAUAAUAUGUCAGCC